GUAGGUGGCAAGCGUUGUCCGGGAAUUAUUGGGGCGUAAAGCGCGCGCAGGCGGUUCUUUAAGUCUGAUGUGAAAGCCCACGGGCUCAACCGUGGAGGGUCAUUGGAAACUGGAGAACUUGAGUACAGAAGAGGAAAGCGGAAUUCCACGUGUAGCGGUGAAAUGCGUAGAGAUGUGGAGGAACACCAGUGGCGAAGGCGGCUUUCUGGUCUGUAACUGACGCUGAGGCGCGAAAGCGUGGGGAGCAAACAGGAUUAGAUACCCUGGUAGUCCACGCCGUAAACGAUGAGUGCUAAGUGUUAGGGGGUUUCCGCCCCUUAGUGCUGCAGCUAACGCAUUAAGCACUCCGCCUGGGGAGUAUGGCCGCAAAGGCUGA
rnacentral:rRNA from 1 species